AUGCUUUUCAUUUUAACAUCUUCAGAUAAGAGUGGACUCCGACCAUCUUAAGAUGUUACACUGUGAAUUUGGAAGAGUCAAUUCUUAAGACUGUUCAAAUGUACUUUACUAAAAACCCUGGAAAUUUCAUUUUCUAGAAAAUAAUUAGGAAAGGAAUGUGAAACAAGUGUUGACUCAGACGUGGUAGCUGAAUGUGAAGUCAAUUCAUUCAAGACGUACCACAUGAGAUUCAGCUUCUGCAAGAAUCAUGUUGGGAAUAAAAAAAAUAAUAAUAAUUAAAAAAAUCAUCACAGAAGACCUCUAGAAGACCUCUACAGAUGGGAGACUCUAAACUUGUACAUGUGAGGAGGUUCCAUAUUGGAGAAAGAGAUCUGAAAACUAAGUUACUGGUAGCAACACUCCAUGUUUAAAAAUCUGUUUAGAAAGCACGGAUUCUCCAGCAUAAUAUAACUGUUCCUGACUCCUAGCCCAAGUAUGGACAACAAGUAUGGAAUUCUUCACAUUUUUC
rnacentral:lncRNA from 1 species